GGACGAGACUCAAGUUAACUUCGUGAUUAGGUUUUGGCUCUCGGUGUUCCGCACACUGGGCAGACUUUUUGUUGACUGAAACCGAGUUUGUUUUCCUCAGUUCUGCAUUGUGGCUUUUGUGUUGCACGAACAGUGGUAACAAUAAAAAAAAAUAAAAAACAAAAAAGUUGAGGAAAAAACUGGUGGCAAGCCGAAACGAAGCUUCUGGCACGCUUCGCUGCUCGAUUUCCAAUGGAGCGGGCCAUGUGAGUCACGAGCGGUGCGAGGAAACCAUUCCAUGCUCUUUUAUGGUAGCUCUCAAGUGGUCAAAUGGCUUUUCGGGGGUGCAAGCCGCUGAUAAAAAGUCACGGGCUGCAGCGGUCAGCGGAAAGUUUGGUUGGAAAACAAGUCACCCGUUUAGAAACCAAAUUGGUUUUCAGCCCAGUUCAAUGAACCCGUCGACCAAAGGCAUAGAAAAUGAAAAUUUAAAUAAGCCAUUCGUUUCCGGCAUUUUUCUCAUUUCCACAAAAACACAAAACAAAAUGCAGUCGCUUAAGUGCAAAAUAUACAGUCAAGAGAUGACACAAUAAGUACAUAUACAUUUACGUGAUCAAAGGAGAAACAUAUUCAUUUCAAAUAUAAGGUGCCUUAUGAAAUGAAAACGAAAUUAACCACAGAUCCUUAUCGGCAUAUACAACCUUCCAGAAACCAAUUUUCAUUUAUUUGCCAUCAUUGCACCAACCUAUAUACACAUAAGUAUCUUACAUUCCUCUAAGACUGACUGUUUUGACCCCGUCUAAUUAAUUUCAAUUAAGAUAUAAUCAUUUGAAAGCAAAAGCUGAUCAAAAGCAAUGACGUCCACACAUUGUCAUUGGUAUCUGGGCUUCUGUCUGCGGUUUCCUUCGAUUAUUUUGCGCUUUUCCGUUUGAGCAAAUUGAAUUAUCCGACUCUAAAAUAACAGCGCAAAUAUCUCGAGACUAGUGUGGGCGAAACCUAAAAGAUACAUUCCCAAGACGGAUGCAAAUAAAAUCGGUUGGGGAGCAAUAUUGUUUUUAUGCUGCUCUUAUCUAUUAUGAAUUCCAUUCUAAAUCUUUUCAAACUCAUUGUGCUCAGUUGGGAUUUAAUCUUCAUAUAUACAUAUCUCUAUUGCAGUGAAAGAAUUAAAAAAAUACAGUCCUAUAUAUCUUAGAUAUGUAGUAUACAGAUGAAUUGAAUUGAAUUGAAAACAAAUUGGGCGGAAAGGCAACAAGAACAGAAACAAGAUGUAGACAAGACACGAGUCGAAUUCGAAUUAUAUUCCAAAAUGCCAGACGACUGCCUCAAGAUUUUGAGCAAAUGGACUUUAUUGACUAUUUGAACUAUUCCCCAUAUACACAUCACUUCUCUCGUUAUUGAAUUUUUAUAUAUGGCCAUGCAUACAUAUAUGUAUCUGUAUCUGCGCCAAUCUGUGCCAUUUUUUUUCUGGAUUUCCCUUCGGCUGGUCGGCGUUUUAAUGGAGAUAUCAUCCAAUGCAAUUAAAAGCCAAACGAUUUACUUGCCUCAUCUGAGGGCUCGUAAAGUUCCACCCACUGGGUACAAUUUAAUCCAUGGCAUAUGUAAAUAAUUCCUGCCAGACAGCGCGCUCCUUUAAUGCGAAUUUGUAAACUUUUGAUGGGCGAAUGAAUACUGAUUGUUUUUUUCGUGGUCAAUGAUAUGGCGAAAUAUGUACAUAUGUAUGCCUCUGUGGAGGCAAAAACAUCGCCCACUAUAUCGAUACUCCCACAGAAAAUUCAGUGUGUUUAUUGCUUUUACACAAAUUUCUCAAAAGGAAAACAAACAACGCAGCUGUAGAAUUCAAGGAAAUCACAUUUGCCUCCUCGCGUUGUCGAUUCUUGUUUUUUUGUUUAUCAGACUUGCAAUUGUAUUUAAAUAAAAUACAAUACAAUACACUGACGAGCACACAUUUCUACAUAAUCUCGAGGAAACUCGCUCUGGAAUUCGCAAUGAUGACAAGCGAUGUCUGACCAUCAAGGGAAUUUGCAGUUCAACCCAUUCGCUGACUCGCACUGACCUCCAGCUCUAGAAUGGGGGGUUAAAGAUCUCUGGAGCAGCUUUCUUUGCCGUUCGGAAGAGCGGUGGCGAAAUGCAUAUUUACAGAAGCGACCGUUUCGCAAGGUCAACGGCGAGCGAGUGGCUGUCGCCCGGUGAUAUUCGCGAUUGGAAUAUUCAACUGACAGGUUCAAUAACCGCCUCGAAAGAUUGCGAUUAAAACUGAAUACUUAGCCUCUAUUACGAUCAGCCUUCGACUUGGGUUUUCUACACGAGUGGGAAAACAUUUAGCUAAUCUCCCAUUGAAAAGCGAGGGGCGUUAUCAGACAGUCGUCUAACUAUUUGCUUACACAUGCAUGCCAGAAUAAAUACAUGUAAUUACGCUGGUUAA
rnacentral:sRNA from 1 species